AAACCGUGUACGUACAAGCAGUGGGAGCACCUUCGGGUGUGACUGCGUACCUUUUGUAUAAUGGGUCAGCGACUUAUAUUCUGUAGCAAGGUUAACCGUAUAGGGGAGCCGCAGGGAAACCGAGUCUUAACUGGGCGUUAAGUUGCAGGGUAUAGACCCGAAACCCGGUGAUCUAGCCAUGGGCAGGUUGAAGGUUGGGUAACACUAACUGGAGGACCGAACCGACUAAUGUUGAAAAAUUAGCGGAUGACUUGUGGCUGGGGGUGAAAGGCCAAUCAAACCGGGAGAUAGCUGGUUCUCCCCGAAAGCUAUUUAGGUAGCGCCUCGUGAAUUCAUCUUCGGGGGUAGAGCACUGUUUCGGCUAGGGGGUCAUCCCGACUUACCAACCCGAUGCAAACUACGAAUACCGAAGAAUGUUAUCACGGGAGACACACGGCGGGUGCUAACGUCCGUCGUGAAGAGGGAAACAACCCAGACCGCCAGCUAAGGUCCCAAAGUCAUGGUUAAGUGGGAAACGAUGUGGGAAGGCACAGACAGCCAGGAUGUUGGCUUAGAAGCAGCCAUCAUUUAAAGAAAGCGUAAUAGCUCACUGGUCGAGUCGGCCUGCGCGGAAGAUGUAACGGGGCUAAACCAUGCACCGAAGCUGCGGCAGCGACACUAUGUGUUGUUGGGUAGGGGAGCGUUCUGUAAGCCUGCGAAGGUGUGCUGUGAGGCAUGCUGGAGGUAUCAGAAGUGCGAAUGCUGACAUAAGUAACGAUAAAGCGGGUGAAAAGCCCGCUCGCCGGAAGACCAAGGGUUCCUGUCCAACGUUAAUCGGGGCAGGGUGAGUCGACCCCUAAGGCGAGGCCGAAAGGCGUAGUCGAUGGGAAACAGGUUAAUAUUCCUGUACUUGGUGUUACUGCGAAGGGGGGACGGAGAAGGCUAUGUUAGCCGGGCGACGGUUGUCCCGGUUUAAGCAUGUAGGCUGGUUGUCCAGGCAAAUCCGGAUAAUCAAGGCUGAGGUGUGAUGACGAGGCACUACGGUGCUGAAGUAACAAAUGCCCUGCUUCCAGGAAAAGCCUCUAAGCAUCAGGUAACAUCAAAUCGUACCCCAAACCGACACAGGUGGUCAGGUAGAGAAUACCAAGGCGCUUGAGAGAACUCGGGUGAAGGAACUAGGCAAAAUGGUGCCGUAACUUCGGGAGAAGGCACGCUGGUGUGUAGGUGAAGUCCCUGCGGAUGGAGCUGAGACCAGUCGAAGAUACCAGCUGGCUGCAACUGUUUAUUAAAAACACAGCACUGUGCAAACACGAAAGUGGACGUAUACGGUGUGACGCCUGCCCGGUGCCGGAAGGUUAAUUGAUGGGGUUAUCCGUAAGGAGAAGCUCUUGAUCGAAGCCCCGGUAAACGGCGGCCGUAACUAUAACGGUCCUAAGGUAGCGAAAUUCCUUGUCGGGU
rnacentral:rRNA from 1 species